UACGUAGGGGGCAAGCGUUGUCCGGAUUUAUUGGGCGUAAAGCGCUCGCAGGCGGCCAACUAAGUCAGACGUGAAAUCCCUCGGCUUAACCGGGGAACUGCGUCUGAUACUGGAUGGCUUGAGAUUGGGAGAGGGAUGCGGAAUUCCAGGUGUAGCGGUGAAAUGCGUAGAUAUCUGGAGGAACACCGGUGGCGAAGGCGGCAUCCUGGACCAACACUGACGCUGAGGAGCGAAAGCCAGGGGAGCAAACGGG
rnacentral:rRNA from 1 species